rnacentral:lncRNA from 1 species
AUGAACGUAUUAAAACAAAUAGAUGAUUGUUUUGAAAAUUAUAUACAAAUAAAUAAAAUUGAAAAAAUAAAUUCGAAUUGGGACGAUGGGUUAAUAGUUAAUAAAUACAUAAAAUUAGGUAGUAGCGAAACGACAUAUAUAAAAAAAGAAGUAUUAAAAACCGCAGAUAAAGAUCCUUCUGUGCUCAAAACAAAUAAUAAUAGCACUGAACAGAGUUCCGUAAAUACAAGAAUAAAUAAUAACAUUAAUAACAAUAACAAUAGCAACAAUGACAAUAACUUGCAAAAGGAAGAACAGACUGUAUCUAAUAAUAGUAACAACAGUUUAGUAGAUCAAUGCAUUUGUAUGAAUUCGCUUAAUGACGUUACAGAACUACAAAAUGUUGUUUUAGUUAGAUGGACAUGUAUGAUUCAACAAAUAUUGUCAUCUGAAAGUUAUCUAGGUUACUAUGCUUUAAAAAAUAAAAAUACUAAUCAAAUAAUUAUUAAAAGUUCUAAGUAUAAAGAUUAUAUUGAUGUAGAUGAACAAUGGGCCAUUGUUGAUUAUAUGGGAAAAAACGAUGCAUAUAACAUAUGUCCAAUAAAUGAAGAACAAGAAGUUAAUUAUAUAAAUAAAGCCUAUACAAAUGAUAAUAAUGAUAAUGAUAAGGAAAAAAGUUUAACCAGCGAAAAUGUGACUGAGCAAAAUGUGACUGAGCAAAAUNNNNNNNNNNAAAAUGUGACUGAGCAAAAUGUGACUGAGCAAAAUACGACUGAAAAGAAUGCAAGCGAACAGAGUGCAAGCGAGCAGAAUGUAAGCAAACAGAAUACGACUGUGCAAAAUAAAUCAGAAGAUGAAUAUAUUUAUAAAAAAUAUAAUAAUUACUGGAAUAGAUAUUUAUUUUUAUGUACUACUAUACCUGGAGUAAAUUACUCAUGGUGUAAAGAUUUGUAUGAAUAUUCAUCUUAUCAUAAUAACAGUGAGAUGUUUUUAAAAAGUAAAAGUGAUUUUGAAGCACUAAAGAUAGGGACAACAGCUGAAAGUACAGAUUAUGGGGAUUUUACAGGCACUAUCGAUUGUACAACUAGCGAUAUUCACGACAUCAAUUCCGAAAACACUAUUUCAGUUGAAAAACAAAACUGCAACUAUAACAAAGUUAUAACAACUGAUAUGUCAACAUGUGUUAAAAAAAAAAACAAAAUAAAAUGUAUAGUAAAAAUAUAUGAUGAUAACAGUCAGUAUAAUGGUACUAAUGCCAAUGAUUUUAUAAAACUAAAUGAUGUUAUCGAAUUAAUAGGCAUAUAUAGAAAGCAUCAAAUUAAAUACGAUGAAAAUGAUACAUAUAAUGAUAAAGAUAAACCAAAUUAUUUUUUUUUUCAUGAUCAAACCUUUUUAAAAUAUCCAUGUAUACAUGUAUUUCAAUAUAAAAAAAUAAAUUAUUUCAACCCGUUAAAUAAUAAUAUAUUAUUCCCUAACGAGUUAUCUAAUAUUCUUGAAAGUGGUCCUUAUAAAACUGUUAACGAAUUAAAAAAAUAUUUACUUAUUUAUAUUUCUAGUUGCUUUUCAAAUGAUUUGCUAGUUGCUCAUUAUUUUUUUUUUUAUCUGUGUGGCACUUAUAUAGAGGAAAGUAAAAAAAGUUUAGGAAAAAUUACAUUGAGCAUUUUUAAUUUGCUAGCUGACGAUAUAAGGUCUGGUAAAGUCAGUCGAACCGGUAAACCGUGUGAAGUGGUCAAACAAAGUGAAGAACCCAAAAAAAGUAAACUGGCCAAACAAACUGAGACAGUCAAACAAACUAAGCUAGUCAAAAAAAAUGAUAUUCAUGUAGAAUCAAAAACAUACCCAAGUUACUACCAAAAAAUCCACGAUAUGUUUAAAAAUUUAGUUUCCUUAUAUAGACACAUUCCUUUUUAUUUAAACAAAUUAAAUUCUGAAUCUUUGAUAUCAAUUAUGGACUAUGAAAGUGGUGAAUUAAAAAAAGGAAAAUUACAACUGGCAAAUAACACUUAUUUGGUUUUUGAUGAAUGUGUACUAGAGACUGGGAAACUUAACAAUAUAAGUAUAAAAAAUUUUCAAAGUAUUGAAAUGUUAAUUACUUCUCAGCUUGUUCCUUUCGUUUUUACUUCUGAUAUAACUUUUAAAACCGAGAAUAAUAUUUUAGGGUUAUCAAAAAAAAAAUCUAUGUUUACAAAUUACUAUGAUAUCUCGGUUCCAAUUUUGCAUCCGCAUAUUCAAAGUGGUCUUUUUACUGAAGAAAAGAAAAAUGACAAUAUAAAUGCACAAAAAAAUGACAAUAUAAAUGCACAAAAAAAUGACAAUAUAAAUNNNNNNNNNNGACAAUAUAAAUACACAAAAAAAUGA